GAUGAGUUAUUAAGAUGUUGACCC
rnacentral:miRNA from 1 species